UUUUUUCUUUCAUAUCUUUUGAAUACUUGAUGAUAAGUUGCAUUAACUGGAAUGAACAAUUUGAUAAAAUCUCAUCCCAUUCAUUCAUAAAAUUUUCACUAUCUAGACCAAAAGCGAGAGUUUUAUCCAACCUUAGGCCCCUAGGGAUAAGUCCUUCCUUAAGAUAAUUUUCUAGGAAGGCUAUUUCCCACCAUUUUUUUGUUUCCCCAUAUAAUAAUUUUUCUUUACAUUUGAAAUAUUAAUUUAAUCCCCUAAGGGGUUGGGGUUUGUCACGUUCUUGGAAAAUUGCUUCAAAUUUCCUUAAACGGUGUUUAUGCAUAUCAGACAAAAAAUCUAUGCUGGUAGCCAUAUCAAAAGAACCCCAAG